rnacentral:lncRNA from 1 species
UUUAGAUCUGUAAGGGGUGUCCUCAUUUAUGUUGGAGACUAACAGGCCUACAUAAUGCACUAGAGGGCAGUGUGAUCUUUUAAAAUAUCGGCAUUUUUCCAGCCUUAUUUAUGACGACAUUUAUUAGUGAUUUACGAAGUUAUUCAGUACCUACUUGGGUGCUAACAUGCGCUAAAAAUGUUUAUGACAUCUUCAAUUUUAACACCUGAAAGCACAAACACAGGGGCAUCUGAUCUGAAACAGGAAGUGCGCUGUCAGCCAUCAGAUGAUAGUGUGACCUGCUUUGUGUUCAGCUUGCGUGACGUUGGUUUUGUGGAGCGUGUUGAAUGUCUUUCUGUGAAGAUCAAGCGUUCUGAAUGUCAG